AGAGAAUUGCUUGAACCUGGGAGGAAGAGGUUGCAGUGAGCCGAGAUCUGCACUACUGCACUCCAGCCUGGGCAACAGAA
rnacentral:snRNA from 1 species